ACGGGGGGAGCAAGCGUUGUUCGGAUUUACUGGGCGUAAAGGGCGCGUAGGCGGCCACCGCAAGUCGACUGUGAAAUCUCCGGGCUUAACUCGGAAAGGUCAGCCGAUACUGCGGGGCUAGAGUGCAGAAGGGGCAACUGGAAUUCUCGGUGUAGCGGUGAAAUGCGUAGAUAUCAGGAGGAAUACCGAUGGCGAAGGCAGGUCCCUGGGUCGAUACUGACGCUCAUGCACGAAAGCGUGGGGAGCAAACAGGA
rnacentral:rRNA from 1 species